GAUGAACGCUGGCGGCGUGCCUAAUACAUGCAAGUCGAGCGAACAGACGAGGAGCUUGCUCCUCUGACGUUAGCGGCGGACGGGUGAGUAACACGUGGAUAACCUACCUAUAAGACUGGGAUAACUUCGGGAAACCGGAGCUAAUACCGGAUAAUAUAUUGAACCGCAUGGUUCAAUAGUGAAAGACGGUUUUGCUGUCACUUAUAGAUGUAUCCGCGCCGCAUUAGCUAGUUGGUAAGGUAACGGCUUACCAGGGCGACGAUGCGUAGCCGACCUGAGAGGGUGAUCGGCCACACUGGAACUGAGACACGGUCCAGACUCCUACGGGAGGCAGCAGUAGGGAAUCUUCCGCAAUGGGCGAAAGCCUGACGGAGCAACGCCGCGUGAGUGAUGAAGGUCUUCGGAUCGUAAAACUCUGUUAUUAGGGAAGAACAAAUGUGUAAGUAACUAUGCACGUCUUGACGGUACCUAAUCAGAAAGCCACGGCUAACUACGUG
rnacentral:rRNA from 1 species